UACGGAGGGUGCAAGCGUUAUCCGGAUUCACUGGGUUUAAAGGGCGCGUAGACGGGCUGACAAGUCUGGGGUGAAAUGCCGCGGCUCAACCGUGGAACUGCCUUAGAUACUGUCGGCCUCGAGGAAGGUAGGGGCAUGCGGAACUGUAGGUGGAGCGGUGAAAUGCGUAGAGAUCUGGAGGAACACCGGUGGCGAAGGCGGCCCCCUGGUUCGAUACUGACGCUGAGGUGCGAAAGCGUGGGGAGCAAACAGG
rnacentral:rRNA from 1 species